GAUGAACGCUAGCGGCAGGCCUAAUACAUGCAAGUCGAACGAGAUUGUUGUAGCAAUAUGACAUGAAAGUGGCGCACGGGUGCGUAACACGUAUGCAAUCUACCUGUGAUUGGGGGAUAGCUUCGAGAAAUCGGAAUUAAUACCCCAUAACAUAAUUGAAUGUCAUCAUUUGAUUAUCAAACUUCUGAGGAUAAAAGAUGAGCAUGCGCAACAUUAGGUAGUUGGUAAGGUAAUGGCUUACCAAGGCUAAGAUGUUUAGGUGGUCUGCGAGGAUGAUCCCCCACACUGGUACUGAGACACGGACCAGACUCCUACGGGAGGCAGCAGUAGGGAAUAUUGGUCAAAGGAGGAAACUCUGAACCAGCCAUGCCGCGUGCAGGAUGACGGCCCUCUGGGUUGUAAACUGCUUUUAUACGGGAAGAAAAAUAGCUACGUGUAGCUUAUUGACGGUACCUUAAGAAUAAGGAUCGGCUAACUCCGUGCCAGCAGCCGCAGUAA
rnacentral:rRNA from 1 species